rnacentral:rRNA from 1 species
UACGUAGGGUGCAAGCGUUGUCCGGAAUUAUUGGGCGUAAAGAGCUCGUAGGCGGUUUGUCGCGUCGGCUGUGAAAACCUGAGGCUCAACCUCAGGCCUGCAGUCGAUACGGGCAGACUAGAGUCCGGCAGGGGAGACUGGAAUUCCUGGUGUAGCGGUGAAAUGCGUAGAUAUCGGUAGGAACACCAGUGGCGAAGGCGGUCUCCUGGGGCAUUCUUGACGCUGAGGCGCGAAAGCUGGGGGAGCAAACGGG